GGAGCAACCGUUACUUUUUUCUUCAAGUCAACUCCAGUCCUCACUCACUCAUCAAGUGAUGCAGCAACUUUCAACAGAGGAGCUUCUGGAGUGUGAGAGAAAACACGUUUGUAGGAUGGAAUAAUCUUUGUGGAAGAGGAGGCACAGCUAUUCAGAGGGGUCUCUCCAAUGCAGAAUAUGGGCAGAAUAAGUGCUAACAAUGAAGUACCUGUCCAGAAGGAUCUAACAGCUAUGUUUUUAGUCAGGAUUAAUCCUGACUCCAACAAGUGCACUGCCAAGGAGCAGAUGAGCAAGACGACUGGUAGAGUGGUGAAGCAGAAGACGUCAUACAUGAACCCCCAUGUAAUCUCCUUCAUCAGGGACCUCACUGAAUUCUAUUUGCUAACUGACUAGAUGCAGGUGAGGUUCUGAUAAUAGCUUUAAUAAUAAUAAUAAUAAUAUAAUUAAUAAUAUAUGUAUAUAUUGUUAUACUAUAAUUAAUCAUAAUUUGAUAAUAAUAAUAAUAAUAAUAAUAUAAUAGCAUAAGUACCUUCACAGAACUCCGACCAUAGAUCACCAUCUUAGACCCUCAUCACAUGUGGUGCAAUACAAAGUAAUUUUGAUAUUUGUAAGAAGUUUCUUUUCAUUUAUGUUUUAAAUGUUCAUGCACAUGUUCAUUAUUGUUCAAUGUUUUAUUUUAUUUCAAUAUUGCCAUUGUGUUAAUCAUUUCUCUUUAAAACGUGCAAAUAAGGUUGGUUAUUUUUUUUUAACAAUUUCUUGUUGUCCCAGACCCAGCUCUUUAGAGAGCAUCUCCUAGAGUCUUGCUGAUCCUAGCACUUAUCAGCCGUCUUGA